rnacentral:lncRNA from 1 species
AAGCUUUCGUUUUCUUGAAACCGAUUGAUCUCAUAACUUGUGCUUGACUUUGAUAUAACAUCUCUUCUAUAUUAACUGCUUGCAUCUAAACUAAAAGAUACCAACUUUUUGGGCUUACCAAGUGGCUUCGGGAAAUAAGAGAGACGACCAAGACAUUUUGAUUCGCUCACAACCUCUUCCAUUUGUCUACAAAAGCGAGCUUGCAAGCACAACUUCACUCAUAAGAAAUACAGUUUAUACAUUUAUACCUCUCAAUUUAAGUACCUGAAUCAAUUGGUGAAAGUAGAUUACCAAGUAUGCAAUUCAUACUGCUGGUGCUACUGGUUCUCCUCGCAUUUGCGGCCGCGGGCAAAGAAGCAGAAACAGCUGAAGCCCGCCCGCCUCAAGCCCUUCCUGGCUGCACUGACCACUGCGGCAAUCUCACCAUUCCAUAUCCCUUUGGCAUAGAGCCUGAUUGUUACAAGACAGAAGACUUUUAUGUCUAUUGUAACACAACCACUACACCCCCAACAGCAAUGUGGAACGAUGGUCCCAUUGCUAUUAACAACAUAUACCUGCCUGCGGGUGAGAUGCAAAUAACGCAGUACGUAGCCUAUGAGUGCUAUAACAGCCUGGGCGAGAAUGAUUACAACCAACCAUUGCUUGCCGUGCCUCCUUUCACCGUCUCUCAUACUAGAAACAAGUUCAUUGCCGUUGGUUGCGACACUUCUGCAGCUUUCAGAGGUUACCGUGCAGACGAACAGAGGUUAAUGACCGGAUGCAUGUCCAUAUGUGACAACCUUGACCGCAUUGAACAGUCUUGCUCCGGGGUUGGGUGUUGCCAAACUGACAUCCCCAGCGGACUUGAGAAUUACACUCUCACACUGGAAAGCUAUUAUAAUCACACAUACAUACUGGACUUCAAUCCAUGCAGCUAUGCCUUCAUUGUGGAAGAAGGCAAGUUCACCUAUUCCCCCGAAUACAAGUUUCCAAACACUACCCAACACCAAAGAGCUUCCCCUGAUUCUUGAUUGGGAAAUUGGGGAAGGCGCAUGUGAUGAAGCUGAACACAGAGAUGAUUAUGCAUGCAAGGCAAAUAGCAAGUGUGUCAAUCGGACCAUCAGUGAUGGGCUAUUCUAUAUAAUAAAACGAUAAGGAAAAAACCACUGUUCAUAUCUAUUCAGAAUUGUGCUAUUCCCCUGAAGUUUCGUGAAUUAUGUUUUGGCCCUAGAUUUGUUACUGAUUGCAAAACUGUCCUCACUGUGUUGCGUGUUAUUGUUGCUGCGUGGCCUCCUAUUUUCAUUCCACGAAGCUCUCUCGCUCUCUCCGAUCUCUCUGUCUCACGCAUGACGGCGGAAACGAAGAAAAAGGCCGACCGAUCCCGAUCAAAUCCGAGCCAGGGUGAAAGAACAUCGAUCUGGGUAAUUGGGUUUCAGUUUCGUUUUUUUUUUUUUUUUCUAAGAUUCUUCCAAUUGAUUUUUGUAUUAUUUCGAUCAAACCCGAGCCAAGGUGAAAAAAAAGGAUCUGGCCAUAUGUGUUUGGUUUUUGUAUGAUUGUUGUUUUGAAUCAAUAGGUAUUUCUUUUAUCUCAGAUUCUUCAAUGCAUGGAUGCUGUUGAUAUUUCCUGUGAUGCCUUCCUUGAGCCUUUCUUCCUCAAAAACAUUUGCACCGCCGACUGCUACGAGAAGUGCUCUAGAUAAAGGAUUUCGGGACGAUUUCGGGUUGAGGUAUUUGAGCUUCUUCCUUCUGCUUCGUUCGGUUUCCAUUUGUGUUUUUCAUUGUUGAUUUCAUAUUCCGCUUGCAGUUCAUGCUUCAUAGAAUUUACUAUGCUUCAUAGAAUGUAACAUCAAAUAUUUGGUGUGGUAUGUACCAAAAUAUGUAUGAAAAAAUGUAACAUCAAAUAUAUAUGCUCUAGCUGUAUGAUGUAUGAUAGAAUGUAACAUCAAAUAUUUUGUGUAGUAUAUACCACAGCUUCUAUGUUCUGUAAUGUGUAUUCUCUCUGUUUUUCAUUCUUAUCAUAUAGACAAUAUUAUCUGUUCGCUAAUCUAACCAACACGUAUCAGCAGCUCACGCCCACAUGUGACAACAUCAACUUCACAUAGCUGUAUAACCACAUGUCGACAUUAGCUCACAACAGCUUCUUUCAAUUAUCACCUAAGAACAUGACAAUACUUUGCCGUGUGAUCUUCCAUUUAUUUACCAUCACCUUCACCCACGUCUAUAUAAACCUGGAGACAAAUGAACCUGCAUAAUGAAGUGCUCUCCAUUUCUCUUCAUAUUUCUCCGAACAUUUUACACUACUAUAAAGAAAAAUAAUCUUUGUAACAUAUGCCUGGAGAUCAAUCAUUUGAACGAUUUUUUUUUCGCUGAUCUGUACUUAACGCAUCCUUGAAAAACUAAUUCUUCAAGUGGUUGUAUUUCCGGGCGACUGUUACCGUGGUAAUGUCUGCAGCCAUACAACCCAUGUAUGUCGAUCCAUGCAACACAAAUUCUACAGGACAAAUCAGGAAAAGCCUUCCUGAACAACCAUAUAAACAUUUCCUUUUUCUUUCUUUUUUCCUUUUUUUUUUGUACGACAAAUCGACAAUAUGAUCUGCAAACCUAGACAUGAAUUAGUUUGAUAGCAGUAAUUUCAACUCAAAUUCAGUUUUUAAUUAAUGGAAUGUUUAAUAUUCUGUUUGCAUUUACAUAUCAGACAACUGUAUUGGGAUGGAUUAAGCUUAGGAUUGAAGAGUUGGUUUAUAACUUCGCAAUAGCUUUAUUUGUUAAUGUCCUGAUAUUGAUGCACAAACAUAUAAUUGGUCGAAGUUUCAACAUCUGUUGCUAUACAUGGUUAAUGUAAUUGUCAGAUUUGUACAUAGGCUUCUCUUUUUACCUUUUUUUAUACUCUGUUGUGGUUUCUAAUGGGAAGUUUGAGACCGCUUUUCUAAUUUUGGUUUGUCUUGCAUGUUGGUUAUGCAUGAGAUUGAUUGUGGCUAUUUUGUGAAGGUUUUGUGAUAGAUUCCAGAUUUUGGCUUUGAAAUUGUAUGCGUAGCUCCAAUUCUUAGACUAUAUUUCAUACUACUAUAUUAGAAAUAUUUGAAAGAGAAGAAUCAAAUUAGUGUUUGAGGAAUCAAUAAUAAGGAGCCAAAGGGUGCCGACCAAAAACUGGGUUAGAUAUUUACUUAUCUAUAUUUUACUUGCAUGUUAAUGAUUUGGUUUAUAUUGAAUGCUGCCAAUGUAUUAGUAUUUUGGUAUUGCGUAGUUAUUAAUUGUAUAGGAUUGCAGUUUACUACAAUGAAAACAAGGUGUGCCUGUCUAUUUGGUUAUUGUGUCUGUUUUAAGAUUUUAAUGUUUAUAGCAUUUUGAAAUAUAUUAUGUAUUUCAAUUUUAAUUUUUGAAAUUAGCUACGUUUUUUGGGUUAUUUCUUUUAAAUUUUGUUGAGCAUAUGAUUUUUGUUACAAUGGUGAUAGUUGCAGUCCUUUGAUUAUAAUUUAAGUUGAGUUGCUGCUAUCCUACCGUUACGGAAUCAGGGCCGUUGAGCUUUGUUACAAAUUAAUGAAAACAUCAGUAUCAAUUGUUUGAUUGGGGUUGAUAAUUUUUGUUCUGUUUUCAGUGUUGGUUCUUUCACUAUCUGCAAUCAAUCUCAUUCUCUCAAGUGCUUAUCGGUUCCUUUGGUUGGAUUAGCUGUUUAAGUUUUUUGGUUUGGUUUGCAUUUUGGUAAUCUUUUAGGUUUAAUCAAAUUGGGUGUCUGACUGUUUUGCAGACGUUUCUUUCUGUUUUUCCGGUGGUGAUCCCCAGUGUCAGGACAGGUAUUUACUUUAUCUUUUUUUUUACUUGCAAGUUAAUGGUUUGGUUUGUAUUGGAAAAGCUUUCAAUGUAUUAAUAUUUUUGGUUUUGGUGAGGUUUGUGGUGAGUACUUUUUAAUUUCGUAUUAUUUGAUGUGCCUAGCUGAAUGGUUAUGGGUGUGUCUGUUUUAGGAAUAUUGAUGUUUAGACAAGAUUUUAAUAUCUAUCACAUAUUUUAAUUUACACUUUGGAUGUCAUCUGGUCAUGCAUUUUGUUUUGGUGUUGUUUUAAUUACAUUUGGUAUCGCAAUUGACCAUACAAUGACAAAUUUUGCAUAAUGGUACAGGGAAAAAAGACAGAUAUUUUUUAUCUGUGUAUCAUACUUGAGUUUAAACAACAAACAAUGCAAAGGUAUAAUUGCAGUUGUCCACAUAAUAUAAAUUCUUCCAAAAUGGUGUAAAAAUGAGGAUGAAUGUUUGUUACGUAAUUUUAAAUAACAAACAAUGCAAAGGUUUACUGCAUCAAAAACUGAAGUUAAAUAGAUUGGCCAAUAAAGUAGAUGGAAUCUGACACCGGUCCAAUAUCUAAGACAUGUUUAUAAAUCGAUGUUACUGCAAGUGGAUUUUAGUUUGGAACUUUUUAUGUGUAUUACAAUAGUUUUUUUUUUGGGUUACCCAGCAGAACAAAGUAUUUGAUUGAGUGAGAGAUUGCGUAUGUUUGUUUUUAAAUUGACAGCUUCUAUAAUAUUCGCUUCUGGAUAUUCAGGGCCAAAAAAAAAUUAUAAUCAUGAUGAUAUUAAUAUAAUUUGGUACAUUGAAGUGUUAAAAAAAACCUGCUAUUGAUUUAGUGCAUUGGUUUGAUUUGGUGUGGGGAUACAAAUUCAUCUUGCAGCCUACUAGAUUUCAGGCAUUUGAGUUGUUUUGGUAGUUACAAUGGCAUCGCUUAAAAUAUAAUUUGGUAAAAGAAUGCAUGUUUUAACAUGGUGCUGUUAAUGUUAGUUCAGAUUGUUAUUCAGACAAGUGGUGAUGUGUGCUAUUAUUGGGCUCAUUGAUUUGAGAUUGUUUGAUGAUAUUGCCAUUUCAAUUCAGAUUGCGUUGAAUCUAGCUAUAAGUUCUUUGUUUAUUCUUUUUUUAAAUACUUUUUGGACAGUUGUUAAUCCAAUUUUUACUGUUCUGUAUUGUUGCCAUUGAUUUUUAUGAACUGUUAUUAUUUUAUUGAUGCAUUGUUAUUCAUGUGAAUAUUUGUUGGCACUACAGGUUAAGAGAAAACUUAAGGCUUUAUUACAAAAGUAAGGAUAAUUAUUUUGAUGGUUUGCUGUUAUGUCAUCAGACAUGUUUGUUGUACUUUACAUUUUGUGCGUUGCUUGAAUACUUAUUGUUCUAUUAUUUGGUGAUAUUGGAAAGUAAGAUGACUCGAAAGAAAAGAAUUCGGGAGGAAAAUUUGUCAGCUGCAUCGUCUGAACAACUUGGGUGCAGUGGUCCCUCCAUGAAUGCUUCUGUUAACAGUAGACCGGGUGGUGCCAAUGCAUCAAAUGAUUGUGCUGAGUCUUCGUCUACAAGAGGAAUCGAUGCUCUGAGUGUUGGACAAUCUAAUAUUGGGCAGGCGUUUUAUUAGAGAAGAAGAAAAACAAAAGGUUUGUGUUUGGGGUGCUUUGUUUAUUUAUGUGGUUAUCUGAAUUGAAUUUGUAUGACUUCUGUUUAAGAUGGUGUGCUGUUUUGUUUCUAGGUAUAUCGUCUGCAUAUGUAGAUGUCGGAGAUAUGACAAACGUUUGUGUUGAUUGUCAUGCAUUGUUUUGGUUGCAAGAGUCAAAAUUUAUUCCAAGGAAUGGAAGUCCGGUCUAUACAGGCUGCUGCCAGGAAGGUCGGAUUAGGCUCCCGCCUGUUAGACCUGCUCCAGUUUUUUUAGAAUACUUGCUUGAUUCCACUAAUGGUCAAAAGAGUGUGCAGUUUAGAAACAAUAUUCGGAGUUAUAAUACCAUGUUUGCAUUUACUUCAAUGGGAGCUAAUGUAGAUAAGACGGUGACUGAUGGUCAUGGUCCUUAUGUUUUUAAAAUUAGUGGACAGGUAUACCAUCUUAUGGGUUCACUUAUUCCUCCAGAAGGUAAGUGCCCUAAGUUUGCACAAUUGUACAUUUAUGAUACUGAGAAUGAAGUUGCAAAUCGACAAAAAGCUGUUGACGGUUUAGACUCGGAAAUUGUUACUAGAUUGAUUGAUAUGCUUGAUGAAAGCAAUGAAUUGGUUCAGUAUUUUCGUUCUGUUCGAAAUAAGUAUAAUGAAAGAUCUCUGCGUUGUUUAAACUUGACACUUCUUGACAAUGAAAGAAUAAAAGAUAGGGAAUACGAUGUGCCAAGUAGUAGUGAAGUUGCUGGCUUGAUUGUUGGUGACAUUGGGUUGUAUGAAGCUGAUAGGGAUGUAGUUGUCGAUACAUUUGAAAAUGGUUUGCAGCGGAUAUCAAGAUUACAUCCAAAAUUCAUGUCAUUUCAAUACCCAUUACUCUUCCCUUAUGGGGAGGAUGGAUAUCAUGUUGGUUUGAAAUUAUGCGCACGCAAAGAUAAUGAGAAUCGCAAGCGAGAAAGGAUGUCCAUGUGUGAUUUUAUGUCAUACCAAAUACAUGAGCGUGCAAAUGAAUCUUCCACUUUGCUGAAAGGAGGCCGACUUUUUCAACAGUUUUUGGUUGAUGCCUAUGCAAAUGUUGAAGAAAACCGUUUGUUUUAUAUUAGAAAAAAUCAACCCGAUAUUAGGAGCGAGACUUAUGUGGGCAUAUGUGAUGCUUCAAUAAGAGAACAUGAUGGUGAAAAUGUAGGCAAACGAAUUAUUUUACCAAGCACUCAUACAGGAAGUCCGCGGUAUAUGAACAAACAUUACCAUGAUGCUAUGGCUUUGUGUCGGAAGUAUGGCCCCCCUGAUUUGUUCAUAACACUUACUUGCAAUCCAAAAUGGCCUGAAAUUGAAAGAGCAUUGUUGAACAAACAUGGUAGCAAACCUGAGGAUCGCCCAGAUAUUGUUGCAAGAAUUUUUAAGAUGAAACAUGAUGAUCUUAUUAGUUACGUUAAAUCUGGCAAGCCAUUUGGGAAGGCUAUUGCAGGUAAGUACCUUUGUUUACAGCGUCCCCCCUUUCCCUUUUUCCGAUUUAAAACAUUAUGAUAUUUAAUUUUGAUGUUUUUAUUAAUCUCAUUGGUAUACAAUGUAAUAUGCAGAUGUUGCGACAAUUGAGUUCCAAAAACGGGGAUUACCUCACUCUCACAUGUUAUUUUGGUUGGCUGAGAAUAACAAGUGUUAUUCGGCUGUUGACAUUGAUUCAAUAAUCUUUGCUGAACUACCUGAUAAGAAGGUCAAUCCAACUUUAUAUGAUAUUGUGAAUCAAUUUAUGAUCCAUGGUCCAUGUGGUGUGCUGAAUCCUAAAGCUCCAUGUAUGAAAGAAAAUAACUGCAAGAAAUCAUUUCCGAAAGAAUACAUGGAAAACACAUUGUUUGCAGCUAAUGCAUUUCCCAUGUAUAUGCGUCGUGAUGAUGAUUCUAAAUUUGUCAUGAAAAAUAAUGUGACAGUAGACAACCGCUUUGUUGUUCCUUACAAUGCUGAACUUUUGUUAAGAUAUAAUGCGCAUAUAAAUGUUGAAUCAUGUUCUCAGUCAACCUUGAUAAAAUAUCUGUUCAAGUAUAUAAGCAAAGGUCCUGACCGAGCAAGAGUUGGUAUUCACUCUGAUUUAAAUGAUGAAAUUGCAGCGUAUUUAAACUGCAGAUAUAUAUCUCCACCUGAAGCUGCAUGGAGAUUGCUUGAAUAUCCAAUUCAUUCUCGGCACCCACCUGUUGAAUUGUUAAAGAUACAUUUACCAGGACAACAAACCAUUGUUUUUGGUCAAAAUCAACCGUUAACCUCAGUCAUUGCAAGACAAGGAUCAGACGAUACUAUGCUCACAUCAUGGUUUCAUGCAAAUACAAACGCGGAGACAAAGCAUAUAGCAAAUAUGUUGACAUUUGCAGAGUUUCCUUCUGCCUUUGAGUGGAAUAAUGGUACAAAAACUUGGACACCACGACAACGAGGCUAUGCAAUAGGUAGAUUGCCAAAUAUAAGUCCGACGAGCGGUGAGUUAUAUUAUUUGCGCCUACUUUUGAACACACGUAAAGGCUGCACAAAUUUUAAAUCUAUUCGGACAAUAUGUGGUGUUGUGUAUUCUACGUAUCAAGAAGCAUGCCGUGCACUCGGGUUACUAGGUGAUGAUAAAGAGUGGAGUGAUGCUAUAACUGAGGUUGUACCAACAGCAAUGUCAUAUCAAUUGCGCCAUCUAUUUGUUACAAUUUUGUUGUACUGUGAUGUUUCAAAUCCGUGUCAACUUUUUGAAACACAUUGGCGUAAUAUGUGUGAUGAUAUUAUAUACAAUGUCCGUUCUGAUUUUAUGAUGCCACACCUAAACAUAUCUGAACGAGAGUUACGAAAUUCUUUGUUGUUUGAGUUAGAGCUACUUUUUGGUAAUGCUAAUUCAUCGUUAGCGAAGUACCAUUUACCAUUGCCAGAUAAGGAAAAAAUGUUCGAGUUGAAAAACAGGCAAUUGAGAGAGGAAUUAAAUUAUGAUUGUGUCGCUUUACAAAAAGAGUACCGAUCUUUAGUAGCAGAAUUAAAUGAUAGCCAGAGAAGAAUAUUUGAGAAUGUGAUUAAUGUUGUUAAUAACAAAAGUACUGGCCUUUUUUUGUUUAUGGUCAUGGAGGCACAGGGAAAACAUUUUUAUGGCACACCAUUAUUAGUAAGCUAAGAUCGGAAGAGAAGAUUGUGUUAGCAGUCGCUUCCUCUGGAAUUGCGUCAUUGUUAUUACCAAACGGGAGAACUGCUCAUUCCAGAUUCAAGAUACCAAUUGACCUUACUGAUGGUAAGGUCUCUUCAAUAACAAAGGGAACACAUCUUGCUAAAUUGGUUGAAAAAACGGAUUUAAUUAUUUGGGAUGAAGCACCGAUGACUAAUAAGUGUUGUUUUGAAUCUUUAGACACUUCACUUAGGGACAUAUUAUCGUAUCGUUUUACACCGGGAACCGUCCCGCCAUUUGGUGGUAUGCCUAUUGUACUUGGUGGAGAUUUUAGGCAAAUAUUACCAGUUGUAAUUGAUGGGAAAAAGUCUACGGUAAUUGAUGCAUCAUUAAAUAGUUCUUUGUUGUGGCCAUUGUUUAAGAUCUUUUACUUGACAGAGAAUAUGAGACUGCGAAAAAAGGAAAUAAGUGAAGAGGAAAAACAACAAAUAUCAGAGUUUGCAGAAUGGUUGUUAAAUGUCGGUGAUGGAAAUAUAUGUGGCAUAGAUGAUGAUUGUGAUAGAGAUUCAAGCUGGAUAGAAAUACCGUCUAAUAUGUUAAUUGAUAACACAAGUGAUCCAAUUCGUUCUAUAUUUCAUGCUACAUACCCAGAUUUUCUCAAAAACUACAACUGUUUCGAUUAUAUUAGAGAACGUGCAAUUAUUACACCUAAAAAUGUUGAUGUGACUGGCAUAAACAAUUAUGCAAUAGAUUUACUGCCUGGUCAUACAGUAACCUAUUUAAGUUGUGAUUCUAUAUGCUUGACAAAUGAUAAUGCCGACAAUUUAAGCUCAUCAUAUCCACCAGAAUUGUUGAAUAGUAUUGAAAUCAGCGGAUUGCCAUCACAUAAAUUAGUUUUGAAAAAAGGAAUGCCUGUUAUGCUACUUAGAAAUUUAAACCAAACAAAUGGUUUGUGCAAUGGGACAAGAUUGAUUAUCACAAAUUUAUUUGACAAGAUUAUUGAAGCUAGGGUGUUAACUGGAACUCAUGUGAAUGAGAAAGUUUUUUUGCCAAGAAUUGUAAUGUCUUCUUCUAACCAGAAAUGGCCAUUUAUAUUGAGGAGGAGGCAAUUUCCGAUUAAAGCAUGUUAUGGAAUGACGAUAAAUAAAAGCCAGGGCCAAUCAUUAAAACAAGUUGGUUUAUAUUUGCCUCAGCCUGUUUUUAGUCAUGGACAAUUGUAUGUUGUUUUAUCUAGAGUAACCUCAAGAGAAGGAAUUAAAAUUAUGAUUUUAAACGAAGACAUACCAAAUACGUAUACAAAGAAUAUUGUGUAUAAAGAUGUGUUGAAAAAUUUACAGUCGCAUUCCGACUAAUAUUGUGUAAAAUGUCCAUACAUGAAACCCGGUUGAUGAUUACAAAUAUAUAUGUCAAUGUCAUUGAGGCACAAGUUUUGACCGGAACACAUGUUCAUAACAAAUUUUAUUUACCACGAACUGUACUGUCUGCAUCAAAACACAGAUGACCUUUUGUUUUAAAAAGAUGCCGAUUUCCAAUAACACUGUUAUGGAAUGGCAAUAAAUAGAAGUCAGAACCAAUCAUUAAAACAAGUUAAGUUAUACAUGUCGCAACUAUUUUUCACUCAUAGACAAUUGUAUAUAGCUCUCUCAAGAGUAACAUUGAGAAAAGGAAUUUACAAAAAAAAAAAAAAAAAAAGAAUAUACCAGAAAAAAAAUACUAAAAAAUAAUGAAAACAAAAAUGUUUUGCAAAGUUUGAGACCAACUCUAAAGCUCAUCAUCAACCGAUACCUCCACCAAUUAGUCCUUCUAUCUUCAGCAAAACAAUGAAUAAAAAUUUGCAGGCCAACAUCAACAAGCCAAAAACCAAACCUUCAGUAAAUAAAAAAAACGGAAGGCAAAGGUAAACAAGGGUAUAAUUGUCAAUUCUAAACAAGCCCUAUGUGUAUAUAACUAUACAGCUCUAUGUAGAAGCAGCCGACUCAGAUCUUUCACUUUCAGAUUUGGUUAUAUCUCUAACCUGCACAUCUAUUUUCUACUUAGCAGUGAUCCAACCUACAAAUCCAACCUACAAACUGAAGACAGGUAUUUUGUUUCUCUGUGCUUGCAUAAACGAUCAAAACUACACAGAUUGCUUUAUUCAAUUAUGCAUAUCUUAUUUGAUACUCUUAGAUAAAAAACAAAUUCAGUUGUUUUGGUUGACAUACUUUCAAAAGUGUAAAUCCUCUCUUCUAUGCAACCCAACAACCAUAAAAUGUCUCUUUUAAGUCUAAUCACAAUUUCAUUCUUAGUAUAUUACACUGUCGCUGUCGAUGAUUCCCAUCUUUUUUUUUCCCCCAAAACAGAUCUGCUUUUGCACCAUGUCGACUACCCGAAUUCGUGACAUUAGUCCUGGAACGGGUGGCAUGAAGAUAAAGGUUCGAGUAUCCCGAAUGUGGAGAGGAAAAGUUCUCAAGCCUGUCCAACGAUAUGAUGGCUUGGGAUGCGUGUUAGUCGACCAAUAUGUAAUUGUUAUAAUAGUUGAAUCAUUUUUAACAAGCACCGAUUCAAACAUUUCUGAUCAUUGUCUAUAUGUUAUAUAAUUAUGAAAGAUACUUAUUAUAUCUAUCAAUUGUUACACAUACAGGGUGACUCCAUCCAUGCCGUGGUCAUGGAAGCUGACAUUGAAGAUGUCUUAAGCAAUAUGGCGGAAGGUCCUGUCUAUGAAAUAAGCAAAUUUAGGAUCAUGAAAAAUCAAGAGUCUCAUCAAGUUGUGCCACAUACAGCACAGCUGCAGUUUAACAAUAAAACUGUGUUCAAACUGAUGCGUGAAGAAUUCCCGGCAAUACCCAUACACUGCUUCAACCUACUGGACUACAGCGAACUUCCUGCACGUAACAAAAAAGACACUAUAUUGACAGGUACAAAUUCACAAUCAAGGUGUUCACUAAAUUUAUAUAAUAUGUACAUAACGUUCACAUUUUAUUCUAAUAUUUGAUUGUUAAUCAAACUUCAUACUUUCUAAACGUUGUCUUUUUGCUAAGUAGAUAUAAUUGGGCUUAUAAAGGAGAUGCAUCAAGUUGAAGACACUCCUGUCAAAGGACAAUUGGCAAAAACGCGGGAACUACGAAUACAGAACACAAGGUACCAAAUUGUGAAUAUUUAGGUUAUAAAUAUGUUGACUGUCUAAAGGUUUAAUACACAAUUUCAGUUAUUUGAUAUAUUCAUUUACACACAAUUCUACUGUUGUAUGCGUUUACUGUUUUCCCUAGGAAUGAAGAGCUGCAAGCAACACUUUGGGGAGAACUUGCACUUGACUUUGAUGCAGACAAGAUACUUCAGUCACCCCCGCCAGCUGUGAUAGUCAUUACGAGUUCAAAAGUGGCCACGUAUGCAAGUAAGAACAAAUGUCUUUUUUCUCGACGAGAUCACACUAUUUAUUAUUUCGAAUUGAAUUACUUCUAUUGUCUAUUCUUAGAGAAAAUAGUGGUCAACACAAGCUUGAACAGCUGUGUCUUCAUCAAUCCAAAUAUUCCUGAGUUACAGGAAUACAAAACAAGGUACACAUUUAAAGAUGAAAAUAUGGCCAUAAUUGACAUUCGGUAUUCAUUGUGUGCUAAUAUCAAAUUCUGUACACCUCAAUAAAAUUGUAGGUUCUCAGCCCGAACUAUGCCCCAAAAUUCAUACCAAGCUCAGGCCAAAGCACAAGUUCUUCUGUCACAGAAACAUCAAACAUAAUCAAUAUCGGCAACCUCAUCUUACAAGAUGCAGAUGAAAACAAGGUAACAACUUCUAAAAGGACAUAAUUUAUUUUUAAUUUUUAUUUUAUUUUUUCCUUUUGAAGCUCUAAAAAGACAUAAUGUUGUGCACCUGUUGUUAUGUAUAUUAAAAAAAUUACAACUAAUGUCAUAUGUGACUUCAAAAUGUCUAUAUCAACAUAGGAUUCCAUGUUCACCUGUCGAGCUAAAAUUACAAAAAUCAUCACUCGCGAAGGGUGGUACUACUUUGGUUGUCCAAUCUGUAGAGUGAAGCUACAAAUGGGAUCCGACUCUGUAUUGAAUAAAUGUCCAAACCAUGGAGAGCAAGCUGGAAAGCCAAAGUAAGCAAAAGAAAUUUUUUUGAUUAACUAAAUCUAUGAUACAUUUGUCUAAAUAACUCCACUGAUACUAAAAGUGUCUAUGUUGAUUUCACGGCCUUAUUCAUCUUGAAUAUCGCAUGCGUAAAUUUUUUUAUGAUGGUGUUACUAUUACAGGUACAAGAUGCAAAUUCGUCUCGAAGAUGAAGAUGAUUCAACUUUGGCCAUGCUCAUGGGCAAACCUGCAGAGAUACUAUUUAGAAAACCCUGUAGCCAAUUGAUAGAUGAAGGAAGUACAGAGAAAACUGUCAUCCCGAAAAUCAUCCUUGAUACAAUGCACAUAUACAAAAUCUGGAAGAUUGGGUUUGGUACAAGGAAAGAUUUCAUGGUUAGAGGUGUUUACCCUGACACUGAAAAGGUUGGCCAAGAGAUAGAAGAACCAAAGACAUCGGGGAAACUUCCCUUGAAGAGAAAAUCAUGGUCACCAAAAGAAAGCACUCUGCAUCAACUUUUGGAGUCCGACAAAAAAAAAAAAAAAGGUUUCAAUCUUUACUAUAGUGUCCAUCUAUUCUUUCUUAAUGUAGAUACUGAAAUAUUUAAUGACUUUUACAUCAUAAUUGACAGGGAAGCAGGAGGCAGUAGCAAGGACACAGCAAAACCAGAUUAAGUUAGACAUGAUAGCUCCAUUGUAAUAAUCUAACUAUGUUUUGGCUACCAACUUUUGCAAGGGCGAUGGUGUGUGGAAAAUGCCCUCUUUUGUUCAAAUGAUGUUCUAGCUUGCAACUGGAGCCAAUGUGAUCUGUACAGUCAAAUAGUUUUUGGUGUGUGUGUAUAUUAACAGCUUAAUCUACAACGUUGUAAUCGUUACAGGAAAAUGGCUUUUUGAUGUGAAAUAGUUGUGAUCUGUACAGUCAAAUAGCUUCUGGUGUGUGUGUAUAUUAACAGCCAAAUCUACAGACUUUUUGAUGUGAAAUAGUUUUUGGUGUGUCUCUAUAUAUGUAUAUCAGUUACCAAAUUAAAGGUGUUGUAAUUGCCUUAACUGAUCUUUAUAUCCACUUUACUAUUAUUUGUUUUCAAGUCGAAAUGUAUGUCAAUAUCUCACUUUAUUACAAUUAAUUUUGUUUCUUAGUAUUAAUAAUCAGAACAAAAACAUUUAAAGCAGUCAAUAACUGGUACCCGCAGCAACGCGCGGGCACAUACCUUGUAUGUCACAAAGGGCCAGUACUAGGGGUGACGCAAGUGCCUCCUGUCUCAAUGCAGGUUCAGUUGGGGGCAGGAGGAGGGGUCCCCGUAGUCGCAGUUCCUAUACGGCUCUCAAUGCUGCUCCGGGUGAAUUCCAUCAACCACUUGCCUCGGCUCUUAAUGCUGCUCCAGGUGAAUUGCAUCAACCAUCUGUGGCGGUUGGUGUUUUCGAGACGCCUGCUAUGGUCAGAAUGGUACGAAGAUCACAGAAUAGAAAUCAACCUGGACCAUAUUACGUCUAAACUCCACCUCGUUUUAGCACUAGUUCUAUAUACUAUAGCAGGAAGGCAAUAUAACUGUUUAUUCAGGUAGAGAAAUGACGGUGUUACCCCCGGUUUGCAGAAAAUUACAAAACUGCCACUGCAGCAUCUAUCUCCACAGCAAUACGUGAACACAUGAAAUGUCUGUUUUGCCCCUGCUUCGUAACUAAUCACAAAAUUGCCAUUAUCUGCUCUGUCUUGACAUCUGCUGUUUUUAUAUUGCUGUGUUGGACAUCUGUGAGUCUGGAUUGCUGCCAUGUGUCUUGGUCGUUGACGUCUGGCGUCGAUGGCUUCUUCUCCACGAUCGGUUCGAGUGUAUCGAGUGUUCAUUGACCAUCUUCUUUGUCGCUCUUUGUUGUGAGAGAGAGAUGGGUUAUUCGUGAAAUGAAAAUUUGUAUGGCUCUUCUCAAUCAAAUGGUCGAGGUAAUGAUAUUUGUUCUGUAUAUGAUCGAUUCUGGGUUUCUAUUUCGUUUGCCCUGAUCGUAUUUACCAUUGUUUUGAUACCGAUGCGUUCAUUCAAUUGUUAAACAGGUGUCUGGAUUGCGAUCCAUAUUCCUUAUGAAAAAAGGUAUUGUGUUGUUGUAUCCAUGAACAAUCAACUUAUUUUAUUAUGCCUCAUUCUUGGUGCAAUUACAUGUUAUUUCUGUUCAGUUCAUGUUCAAAUUUUGCUCAAAUUUCAUUAACAGAUUAUACUCUUGGAUCCUAAUUAAAAUUGAAAUUGAGGAGUUUGUCAAUUUUUUUUUUGGCUCUAUUUAAGGGUGUUGAAAGUCUUUGAUGGUUCCAUUUGAUGGUACAUUUGCAAGAACUGCAUGUAUUAACAAUUUGUAUGUUUCAGAUCUCGACUUCGCUAUUCUGGACUCUGGAGAUGAAUCAUUUUGCAUUGGUUGAUGGAAAGCCAUAUCCUUUCGAUAUGAGAGGUGAGUUGGAUGACACUGGUGCUUUCAAGAACUUCAGUAAGUACAUUCACUUUACGUUGUUAUUACCAUGAAUCAUGAGCAUAUGAGCUAACAAAUCCUUUGAAGUUUGAACUAUAUCAGGAAAAGUUUAAGUGUUUGACAAAUCAAAUGAUGGAGCUAAUAUAUUAGAGUAUUUGCAGAAGAUUUGUUCAGUGAUAUUGGGGAAUUUUUGAUUUUGCAGGCUGGAAUUUUGUGUAAUGCGUGCAUUGGUUCAAUUUUCAGGUAUGCAUUUUAGUUGUUUAUUGGAAGAUUGAUGAUGUGUGGUGUUGAUGGAAAAAGUUAUCUGUACUUGACUUUGACUUAUUAAUAAAUCGGUUCUCUGCUAAAGAUAGUAACAAUUGUGUCAAAUUUUUACAAGAAUUUAUGACAGUACACAUUGUUCUGAUUUUUUCCAUUGAGCGUUGCCAAAAACAAUAUCCAAUUGAAUAGUAGGGAGUUCUUUGGUCAAUGAAUUGAGUACAGAAAAUUAGGGAGUUCUUUGGUCACUGUGGACUACAAAUUGGAAACAUUUGGUACUUCAGGUCUAAGAUUUCAAUAGUUUUAGAUAUAGCUUGAGGCCCAAUAUUGAAACAUUGAAAUCUUCAGUGAUCAUUAACUUACAAGGUCUGAUAGGAUUCAGUUCAAAAAGGGUCAUAUUAACAAAGGAAGUUUGGAAACUGACACCUGCAUUUCAAUAUCAAAAUGUAUGUCUAAAGUUUAGAUGAAUAUUAAAUACUUUCGAUUUUGAGUCUUAGCUGCUUGCAUUAUAAUACACGCUCAUUGCAUCCCUUUUUUGUACGUUUUGAUUUAGAUUUAUGCUGCUAUUGGAAAUGUUGGUGGAAGGGAGUUAGCUGUCAUCUUUUUAGUUCUUAUAUUUAUUUAGAACUACUCAGAAGGAUCUGUUUCAGAUGGAAGCAAUAGCUGAUAUUGUUGAUUAUUCAUGAGGGGUAAAAUACUCUUAACAUGUUUACUUAUCGUUUACUAUUUAUUUCAUUUACUGUUUGAAAAUGCUAGAUAUGUUUCUUCCACUGAAAAGUUCUCUGUGACCAGGAGACUACCAAAGGUUGCAGGAAAGUCUACAAUUGAACAUCAAGUUUGGAUAAUGAGUUUCUGAUAAUUUUGAAAUAUAUGUGAGAGCAUUAUAACUUUCAACAACAUUUAAACACUUUAAGACCAUUACUGGUUUUCAUAAAUGUGUUGUGGAGCUAUUCAAAAUAAUGAAGGACAAUAUUGAGCUUGCAGUUUUUGCAGAAGAAUUUUAAUGGGAAAUAUAUAUCAGUGUUGUCAAUGCGUAGGAAACUAUCAUUAAAGCUUUGAAUGGUGUUGAUCAUCCAUCUUUAACAAGUCUCUUCUAUUUACUUUGGCAGCAUUGAAACCCUCCAAUGCUGGUAUCAGGCCUACUUAAUUGUUUGUUCAGUUUCAACUGUUUAAGGAACAUGAGCAUAUGAGCUGACAAAUCAAUUGAUCUAUUUCAGAAAAAGUUUCUGUGUUUUGACAAAUGAAAUGAUUCAGCUAAUAUACUGUAGAGUAUUUGCAAAAGAAUUGUUCAAUGGGGAAUAUAUCAGCUUGGUUGAUGCUUUGGGAACUAAGCAUAAAGCUUUUAAUGGUGUUAAUUAUCCGUCUGUACCAAGCCCUUUAUUUACUUCGGUAACAUUGGAGGAAUAUGAUUUCAGUAUCAAGUCUAUGCAAUAGUUUGUUCAAUUUGAUUCAACUGUUUAAAGGAUGAGCUUAUGAGCUUACGGGUCCAUUGAACAGUUAGCUUAUGAGCUUUUUUAUAUAUUCACGUUUGUCCCAAUCUGAUAUUUGUGGCCAUUUGUACAUGGUUCAGAAUAAUAUUCUUCCUCGGGAAUCUUUGUAGAGUAUUCAAGGCAGCGAGAACUAAGUCACCCAUAACAAUCAAAACACAAAUUAGUAGACAAUUGAGAGGUAAUUGAGAGCUACUACUUAAUAUAACUUACUUUCUCAUUGCAGAGGAGAAGAGAGCAAAAGGGCUUCCAAGUGAGUGUUGCUUAUAUCUAUAUCUAUACAUUUGUUUACUAUUUCAGAACUUAUUUAUGUUUCGCUGGUGUGGUUCAAAUGAAACCUCUGACAAAAAUAUAUUCUUUACUUUGCAGAGGACAAGGAAGUAAAGGGACCUCAAAGUAAGUUUAGCAUUUCUAUUUCAAAACUUAUUUAUGUUGCGAUGGUGCCCUUUGAAUGGAAUGAUCUAUGAUCAUCUUCUGAUGUUUAUCAAUUGACAACGAUUAGUAGCAGUUUCAUUUACAAUCAAAUCGAAUUUCUGUCUAAAAUAUGUUUUUCAAUUUGCAGAGGAGAAGGAAGCAAAUGGACACCAAAGUAAGUGUUCAUUAUAUCCAUAUCAGUGCAUUUGUUUUCUCUAAAAAUUUAUUUAUGUUGCAGUAGUAUGUCUUGCAUUGGUUUUGUUUAUCUUUUAACAACUUUAUCAAUAUUCAAUGCUUCAAUUUAAAUGUUUAUGUACUAGACGUCAACCAAACAAAGCUAAGUCCAAGACAAAGGAGGACUAAGGUUUCUGUGCUUAUAUAUAUGCUCGCUCCCCAGCAAUAGUUUUUUUGAUGCUAAGUUGCUAACAGGUUAGACGUACAUGGUUCUAACUACAGAUCGACUAUUGUUUUGACUAGCAAUGGGAAGCGUUUUGCUGUGCAGAAUGAUAUAAUAACACAUGACUUAUUUUUUGUGCUCUCAGUUAUUUUGGUGUGUAUGACAGUGUUGUCUACAGAGAGAGCAAUGUACUGUAUAAUACUACAAUGUGAUGUUUUUGUUUGAUAAGUCAUGUGUAUUGUAGACGCUAAGUUAAUGGAUUUUUUGUAAUCUAACAUUUUCAUUUUUCACCAUAUCUCCAUGUAAUAGUGUGUGUGUGUGUGUUUACUAUGCAAUAUCUCCAUUAUAUUGCUACAUUCAUUGGCAUACCAAACAACAUAAAAAUUUAUCCAAACAAAAACAAUUCCGGUGAUUAAUAUCAGUCAUUGCAAACCGUGGCAUCGCGUGGGCAUCAUCUAGUCUGGUUAUUAUUGCCAAUGCCAGCCGGGUUAUCAAGGGAACCCUUACCUCCCCGAUGCUUGCCAAGGUGAAAUAUGUAAAUAACAAUAUACAGUACAUGUGUAUGUGUGUCUCUGUGUGCACUUUUCAUUUGAUAUGUUUGAGGGUACAUGCGUGUUUGUGUCUGUGAUUCAGUUGCUGCAGCCGGAAAUUAAAGCUCCGGUUAUGGAUUAAGUUUACAUGUUUGUUAAUAACAAUGUGUUUUCCUGGGUUUUUCAGAUAUUGAUGAGUGCAAGGUUUCAAACCCCUGCACCAAUGGACUGUGUGAAAAUUCACCUGGAAGUUACUUACGCUUGUGUGACAAAGGGUACAGAAGCAAUGGAACGAAUAAUCAAAGCUGUAUUCAAGAGAUUCCCAACGACAAAAAUCAAACAAAGACGACGCUCCUGCUUAUUGUAUCAUUGAGUAUGUACUAUUUCUAUAAUAGCACGCUGCAUGCAUCAUCUGAUCAUAUAUAGCCUAAAGUCAAACGUAAACUUUUUUUGAACAAUAAUUAACCUGAUCAGCUAUAUUAGGACCCAAAAUGAAAUUCUCGUAUCUAAUAUUUAAAAUAUGCAUCAUUUACCUUCCUCAAAAAAUAAAAAAAAAUGCAUCAUAUACAAGUGAUUUGAAAUUAAAAAAAGAAAAUGAAAGAAUAUAUAUGCAUCAUAUACAAGUGAUUUGAAGAAGCUUUCACGGUUUCACCUACAAAUGUUAUCCCCUGCUUUUACGGUACCGACUUUUAAAAGCUUAGAAAGUUUGAUUGAUCUAAAUUAUUUCACUAAUAAUUUAGAAUCAAAUAAAAAUAACUAAAGAAUUUCAUCGAACUCACUAUAUAUGUGCAGGUGUAACUGGGGCCUUCUUGGUUCUGUUUGUUGGAAUUUCAUUGAUAUGUUGCAGAAUAAAGAAAACAAAAUUCAACAAACUGAAAGAAAAGUACUAUAAAGAAAAUGGUGGCUUAUUGUUACUACAGCAACUCGCUAACAAUGGAGGCUCAGUGGAGACAACAAAAAUCUUCACCACAGAAGAACUAGAGAACGCAACAAACAAUUACCAUGAGAGUGGAGUCCUUGGAGAAGGAGGCUACGGAACAGUUUAUAAAGGAGUACUAAAUUAAAGGACAACAAAGUGGUUGCCAUAAAGAAGUCAAAAGGAGGUACCUAGUUAAAUAGGGUCGGAAAUACAUUAUAAACGUAAUACUUUAUGUUCUUAUCAUUAUCCUUUCGCAAAUCAACCACAAAAACGUGGCAAAACUAUUAGGUUGUUGUUUAGAAACAGAAGUGCCUUUACUAGUAUAUGAGUUCAUCACCCAGGGGACUCUCUUUGAGCACAUUCAUAAAAGAAGAUCACCUCUCCCUUUUGAAUUACGAAUGAAGAUAGCAACUCAAAGCGCAGAAGCACUGUCUCACUUACACUCCUCAAUUUCCACACUGAUAAUACAUCGAGAUGUGAAAACGGCAAAUACUCUGUUAGCUGAUGAUUACGCGGCGAAAGUGUCAGAUUUCGGAGCUUCCCGUUUGGUUCCUUCAGGUCCAACUGAUAUGCAAACUUUGGCAGUGCCCGGAACAUUUGGAUACCUAGACCCUGAAUAUCUGCAAUUAAACCAACUAACAGAAAAGAGUGACGUUUACAGCUUUGGAGUUAUCCUAGUGGAAAUAAUAACAAGCAAAGUGCCACUUUCUAAAGGGAAAAGCUUAGCAAGCAUCUUUAUUGUUUCCAUCAAAGAAGAUAGGUUGGAUCAAAUUCUUGACGAUGACAUAGUGAAUGAGGGAAACAUUGAGACGGUAAAGAAUGUUGUCAAUCUCGCAAAACGGUGCUUGAGGGUGAAUGGGGAGGGAAGGCCUACCAUGAAAGAAGUUGUCAAAGAGUUAGAGGAAAUGAGUGUCACGGCAAAACAUCCCUGGGAAUUUAAUGCUAGUUUUUGCGGAGAAGAGACUGAGUACUUGCUUGGAUCACUUAAUACAGAUGAUUCCGUGGUACGACCAAUGCAUCUGACAGCAUGCAAAACCAACUGCAGUUGAUGCCCUAUGGCGGUGGACGUUAGUUGAUUGGUGUCGCUUGUAAUGUUUUCUUAAUCCUGUAUGUACGUAUUUUUUAGUAUUGUUGUUUCUGUCUGAAUGUCUGAUAAGUGCGUUAGAAAUAAAAGUGUAUUUUCGCAUUUUGUAAUUGUUGUAUGCAUGUAAGGAAACAAGUGUGGUCUUAGUCUUACAGUACACUUACCGGUGUUUUUUUCCAGGUAUUGUGAUUGAUGCAACUUAGCAAGCAACCGGUUUUCCUUGAACCAUAUAUGUGGUUAAUUAAAGGCCUUUGCCUUUCACACGAGUUGGUGGUGCUUGAAAGUUGGUAUGUGAUGGUCAGCACAUCAAUGGGAAACCUUAAUUUUUGGUUCUAGCCUCACCUAAUCAUCGUUCAUCAAAGUUACAUGAACCCUAACAAUAACACGGUUGAUAUAUACCAGCUUGGUCAACUUGAAGCAUGAGUCCGAUUGUUUUCCCAACUAGCCUUUUGUGAGUGUCACCAAAAUGAUCUAUGAUUUUGGAAAAUUCUAGUAUACAAAUUUGCAUAUAUAUCAUACAAACUAAGUAUGUGGCUAUCAUUGCUUGUAAAUAUAGUAAUAUGACAAUUUUAUCCUCCUCAAAAUACUUCUUGUAUGUCCUUACAUAGAAGUGAGUGGACCACUUUUUGAGUUUGUAUACCAUACACAUCUGUAUAGUAGACAAACCCAUGAUUUUCACCCAAAUCAAAACAAAAAUCGGAAUGCAUAAUAAUAAAGAAUUAGUCAUAGUCAUUUAGGAGAAUCAUAUAUAGCUCUCUGAAAACCCCAGAGAUCAUUUUCUUGACACGAAUUACAUCUCGUUCAAUGGUGAAUGUAAAGAGGAAGCAGUCAUGUACCACGAGCUUGAACUUCUAGAAGAGAAGGGACGCGCCACAUAGAGGGCAUGGCGCUCUUGAAGGAGUCGAAGGCCACCGCUCUGAACCAAGGAGCCACUCACGAUAUUUAACCUAUUUUUUAGUACCUUGUAGGUGUAAAUAUGGAGAUUGAAACUUUUCAUGAAUGCUAACAAUUUUCUUAGAUUUAAAGAAAUAUAAUCUCGAACCUUCCUAGCUCGAAGUACCAAGUCAACAGUUAAGGAUACAUGUAUAUGCAAACUAGGUAGAUAAGUACUACACUAGUUGAAUCUGCAUGCUCACUAGUUUUCGCUUGGAAAAUUUCCACAAGUCAUGUCAUGUUCACAAUGCAAAUUAGAAAAUUUCCUCCAGUCAUGUCAUCUUCACACUGCUAAUUAGAAAAUUUCCACCAGUCAUCUUCGUAUUGCAAAAGGAAAUUCUUUAAUUCCAUUUAGAUCUACUUGUGACCUGGACGACUUCAUCUUAUCGUCUAGAAAUUGACAUAAACUAAUAAACGAAACAAGUUCCUAUUUACAACUACCACCUCAACUUGUCACCAUGAUCAUCAACCAAAACGGAACACGAAUUGUCAUAUUGACAUAGCAUAGAAUAAUUAGUUAGUAGCACAAAAUUAUCGAUGGAAAUGGUGGUUGUGCCCCGUCAGUCCGUUAAUUUAUAGUGAUGGGGUGAAAAAAUAAAUAAAUCAAAAGCCAUUCUAAACACAAGGACCAAAAAUAAUUUUUGCCACCUGAUCAGUAAACAAAUCAAGUAUAGCUAGGCAGAAGGGGUCCUGGCUUGGCAAAGGCACAUCAAGCUUUCGUUUUCUUGAAACCGAUUGAUCUCAUAACUUGUGCUUGACUAUGAGAUAACAUCUCUUCUGUAUUACCUGCUUGCAUCUAAACUAAAAUAUCAAGUUUUUGGGCUUACCAAGUAGCUUCGGGAAAUAAGAGAGACGACCAAGACAUUUUGAUUUGCUCACAACCUCUUCCUUCUAUUCGUCUACAAAAGCGAGCUUGCAAACACAACUUCACUCAGAAGAAAUACAGUUUAUACAUUUAUACCUCUCAGUUGAAGUACUGAGUUAAUUGGUGCAUGCAGGUUACUAAUUAACUAAGUAUGCAAUUCAUAUUGGUGGUGGUACUGGUUCUCCUCGCAUUUACGGCCGCAGGCAAAGAAGCAGAAGCAGCUGAAGCCCUCCCGCCUCAAGCGCUUCAUGGCUGCUCUGACAAGUGCGGUGAUCUCACAGUUCCAUAUCCAUUUGGCAUG